rnacentral:rRNA from 1 species
GACGAACGCUGGCGGCGUGCCUAAUACAUGCAAGUCGAGCGAAGUUUUUCUGGUGCUUGCCCUAGAAAAACUUAGCGGCGAACGGGUGAGUAACACGUAAAGAACCUGCCUCAUAGACUGGGACAACUAUUGGAAACGAUAGCUAAUACCGGAUAACAGUAUUUCUCGCAUGAGAGAUAUUUAAAAGUUGGUUAUGCUAACACUAUGAGAUGGCUUUGCGGUGCAUUAGCUAGUUGGCGGGGUAAAGGCCCACCAAGGCGACGAUGCAUAGCCGACCUGAGAGGGUGAUCGGCCACACUGGGACUGAGACACGGCCCAGACUCCUACGGGAGGCAGCAGUAGGGAAUCUUCCGCAAAGGGCGAAAGCCUGACGGAGCAACGCCGCGUGAGUGAAGAAGGAUUUCGGUUCGUAAAGCUCUGUUGUUAGGGAAGAAUGGAUAUGUAGUAACUAUACAUGUAAGAGACGGUACCUAACCAGAAAGCCACGGCUAACUACGUG